UCGGGGCCCCACCUGGAAAUCCAGUAGUUAUUCUCUCCUUAUUCCCAAUCUCCUAACUUCUUCCUUUGGUUCGCAACUUCAUCCCUCGAUGUCAAGAGACCACGAACUUGGCAUAUCUGUCAUCUAACAGGGUAAAAAAUUAGAAAGCAGCCCCUGUGUGACUCAAAGGAGGGCAGACUCGAACAUCUCGGUCAUCGCAAAGGGGCCGUUCUCUCCUGAGUGCUUCUACCUGACAGCGCACGCUUCUGCCCCGGAAGGAGACGCAUCCACAAAUGCAACCCAGAUGUAGUAAGCAAGGCCUCCGAACUUCCGCCUGCGCAGAACCGGACCCCAACCCCCAGCUCCGAAGAAUGCAAGAAUAUGCAGAUGGCGGGCCCCAGGGGCCAGAAAGGGGACAAAGAGCUGAUGAUGGCACGGAGUGCCAAAGGAGGGCUGGAGAGCCGCGCGGUCUGGGUCCACAGCCCUCGGUCCCUCCCCUAUAAACACCCCUGCCCGCCUGCCUGCGGAGAGCAGCGGUUAGAGGCGGG